CAGAGGGGGCAAGCGUUGUUCGGAAUUACUGGGCGUAAAGGGCGCGUAGGUGGCCUUCUAAGUUGAACGUGAAAUCCCUGGGCUCAACCCAGGAACUGCGUCCAAGACUGGGAGGCUUGAAUCCGGGAGAGGGAUGCGGAAUUCCAGGUGUAGCGGUGAAAUGCGUAGAUAUCUGGAGGAACACCGGUGGCGAAGGCGGCAUCCUGGACCGGUAUUGACACUGAGGCGCGAAAGCCAGGGGAGCAAACGGGAUUAGAUACCCCGGUAGUCCUGGCCCUAAACGAUGAAUGCUUGGUGUGGCGGGUAUCGAUCCCUGCCGUGCCGAAGCUAACGCAUUAAGCAUUCCGCCUGGGGAGUACGGUCGCAAGGCUG
rnacentral:rRNA from 1 species